GAUGAACGCUGGCGGCGUGCCUAAUACAUGCAAGUCGAGCGAACGGACGAGAAGCUUGCUUCUCUGAUGUUAGCGGCGGACGUGUGAGUAACACGUGGUUAACCCACCUAUAAGAUAGGGAUAACUUCGGGAAACCGGAGCUAAUACCGGAUAAUAUUUUGAACCGCAUGGUUCAAAAGCGCAAGACGGUCUUGCUGUCAUUUAUAGAUGUAUCCGCGCUGCAUUAGCUAGUUGGUAAGGUAACGGCUUACCAAGGCGACAAUGCAUAGCCGACCUGAGAGUGAGAUCGGCCACAGUGAAACUGAGACACGGUACAGACUCCGACUGAAGGCAGCAGUAGGGAAUCUUCCGCAAUGGGCGAAAGCCUGACGGAGCGGCGCCGCGUGAAUGAUGAAAGUCUUCGGAUCGUAAGACUCUGUUAUUGGUGAAGAACAUAUGUGGAAGUAACUGUGCACAUCGUGACGGUACCUGAUCAGAAAGCCACGGCUAACUACGUG
rnacentral:rRNA from 1 species